rnacentral:lncRNA from 1 species
UUUUAUAGUUAUUUAUAUUGCUGCUUAUUAUUAAUUUUUUUCCUCUGUUGUCUCAAGAGUAUGUACUGACCGCAGAGACGUCUCACAUUGAAAGGAUCCCAGAUUGCUUUUAAAGUAGCCGAACGAAACACAAACCAUCUUCGAGUCUCCACCCUUGUUCCUCCAGAAUCCUCUCUUCUCGUGCUUAUAAUGUUAAGAAAAGGGCCAACCUAAUUCAGCAGCGCAAAGGUCACAGAAUGGGGCCUACCAUCAGAUGCAUUAAAAACGACAAGAGCGGUGACAAACCCAGUUCUCUAGCCUGAACUUGGCCUGACAGUUGUUUCCAUUUAUACAUUGUUCAUAGUUUCCCAAGCAUUUUUUUUCACAUACGGUGACAA